rnacentral:rRNA from 2 species
AGACCCGAAACCCGGUGAUCUAGCCAUGGGCAGGUUGAAGGUUGGGUAACACUAACUGGAGGACCGAACCGACUAAUGUUGAAAAAUUAGCGGAUGACUUGUGGCUGGGGGUGAAAGGCCAAUCAAACCGGGAGAUAGCUGGUUCUCCCCGAAAGCUAUUUAGGUAGCGCCUCGUGAAUUCAUCUCCGGGGGUAGAGCACUGUUUCGGCAAGGGGGUCAUCCCGACUUACCAACCCGAUGCAAACUGCGAAUACCGGAGAAUGUUAUCACGGGAGACACACGGCGGGUGCUAACGUCCGUCGUGAAGAGGGAAACAACCCAGACCGCCAGCUAAGGUCCCAAAGUCAUGGUUAAGUGGGAAACGAUGUGGGAAGGCCCAGACAGCCAGGAUGUUGGCUUAGAAGCAGCCAUCAUUUAAAGAAAGCGUAAUAGCUCACUGGUCGAGUCGGCCUGCGCGGAAGAUGUAACGGGGCUAAACAAUGCACCGAAGCUGCGGCAGCGACACUGUGUGUUGUUGGGUAGGGGAGCGUUCUGUAAGCCUGUGAA